CCAGACUCCUACGGGAGGCAGCAGUGGGGAAUAUUGCACAAUGGGCGCAAGCCUGAUGCAGCGACGCCGCGUGGGGGAUGACGGCCUUCGGGUUGUAAACUCCUUUCGCUAGGGACGAAGCGUUUUUGUGACGGUACCUGGAGAAGAAGCACCGGCUAACUACGUGCCAGCAGCCGCGGUAAUACGUAGGGUGCGAGCGUUGUCCGGAAUUACUGGGCGUAAAGAGCUCGUAGGUGGUUUGUCGCGUCGUUUGUGUAAGCCCGCAGCUUAACUGCGGGACUGCAGGCGAUACGGGCAUAACUUGAGUGCUGUAGGGGAGACUGGAAUUCCUGGUGUAGCGGUGGAAUGCGCAGAUAUCAGGAGGAACACCGAUGGCGAAGGCAGGUCUCUGGGCAGUAACUGACGCUGAGGAGCGAAAGCAUGGGUAGCGAACAGGAUUAGAUACCCUGGUAGUCCAUGCCGUAAACGGUGGGCGCUAGGUGUGAGUCCCUUCCACGGGGUUCGUGCCGUAGCUAACGUAUUAAGCGCCCCGCCUGGGGAGUACGGCCGCAAGGCUAAAACUCAAAGGAAUUGACGGGGGCCCGCACAAG
rnacentral:rRNA from 1 species